GGUGAUGCUAGCCUCUGAGACUAAGCCAUGCAUGUCUACGAACUUCGGGGAGUGGCGAACGGCUCAGUAAUGCCGGGGAAUCUGGCCUGCGGGGACGAUAACCACUGGAAACGGGGGCUAAGAAGCAGGAAGAGCCGCGGACCCAACAGCUAGUUGGUCGUGUAAAGGACAACCAAGGCGGUGACGGGUGACGGGAGACACGGGUCUGGAUCCGGAGAGGGAGCCUGAGAGACGGCUGCCACGUCCAUGGACGGCAGCAGGCGCGGAAAUUGCCCACUCCACGGGGGAGGCAGUUAGGAGGCGUAAGCGAGAGGGGCCAGGAUAGAACAGUGGUCGAUGGCGAGUGGAGGGCAAGUUUGGUGCCAGCAGCCGCGG
rnacentral:rRNA from 1 species